rnacentral:RNase_P_RNA from 2 species
UGAGUAAGCCAGAUGAUCGCAGGUGCAGCCUGAAAAGGCGUACAUGAGGAAAGUCCGGGCUCCACAGGGCAAGGGUGCCGGGUAACUCCCGGUGAAGGUGACUUUAAGGAAAGUGCAACAGAGAUAUACCGCCUGUGGUUUGCAGUUGUGAGAGGCUAUGGAAUGUAGCUGGAUGUGGAGAAAUAUUGACCAUAACCUGUCACAACUGACAAACCAUAUGGUAAGGGUGGAAAGGUGAGGUAAGAGCUCACCAGCGGCAUGGCGACUUGCCGGCUAUGUAAACCCCACCUGGAGCAACGCCGCGGAGGGACGCAAUGACUGCCCGUCAGUCCCGGGGAGGUGGCUUGAGCAUUGCAGAAAUGCAGUGCCUAGAUAGAUGAUCAUUUAAUACAGAACCCGGCUUAUAGACUUACUCAUUUU